rnacentral:rRNA from 1 species
AUACGGAGGAUGCAAGCGUUAUCCGGAUUUAUUGGGUUUAAAGGGUGCGUAGGCUGUUCGGAAAGUCAGGGGUGAAAGCCCGGCGCCUAACGCCGGAACUGCCUUUGAUACUUCCGAGCUGGAAUACGGAUGCCGUGGGAGGAAUGAGUAGUGUAGCGGUGAAAUGCAUAGAUAUUACUCAGAACACCGAUUGCGAAGGCAUCUCACGAAUCCGUCAUUGACGCUGAGGCACGAAAGCGUGGGGAUCAAACAGGAUUAGAUACCCUGGUAGUCCACGCAGUAAACGAUGAUGACUAACCGUCGGCGAUACACAGUCGGUGGCCAAGCGAAAGCGAUAAGUCAUCCACCUGGGGAGUACGUUCGCAAGAAUGAAACUCAAAGGAAUUGGCGGGU